CAGGCGUCGCAGCGAUCGUCCCUCGGCCGGAGGGGUUGCGAUUCCCUUUUUUCCACCCCCGGUUCCGUCGGGGCGGCUCGCUGGAGGGGCGGGUAUGGCCCGUGGUUGUCACGACGGAGUCGUAUCAGUGUGAGGCCGGCUAUCAGCCGCCUAACAUCGAGCUGAUGAACGGGUCGCAAUCAUCGUUCACGAUCCGGCCGCAGGAACUCUAGACACUGUGUCGAGCGCACCGGGUCCCAAGGCGAGCGGUACAUGCUAUAUCGGGAGUGCUAGUUGACUAGGGAAGGGGCUGUGGUGUCGUUCGUGGAUCAAGACGAGGACUCUAGGAAGCGCGGCGGGCCCCCUCGCGGCGGCCUUCCUCGGUCCCAUUCUUUCCGGAGAACGCGACCCGCUCCUCGAAGAGCGUCGGGACGCAUCGGCAGUGAGUGCGCCGGCAUCGGGCAGCGAUUAAGCAGCCGCGGCGAGUUGGCUUCGACGGCUGGUCGGGAUUCGCCGUAGAGAAAGAGCGCGGCGGGACACACGGUACAUAGAAAGCGAAAGAGAGAGAAAGAGAGAGACAGAUAGAAAGAGGUAAAUAGAUAAAGAGAGACAUACAAAAAGAGAGAGACGUAUAAAGAGCGAGUCGGAGAGGGAGAGAGAGAGAGAGGGAAGCGCGCGCGCGGCCGAAGAACAACUCGCCCACGUCCGUCGGAGCGCGACGGGCCACAGGGUGGCGAAUCGGCGCGUGCGGGGGCAGAGGGUCGACGCAGGAUAAGCGGAAAAUCAGAUGUCCUUAGUCCGGCGGUUCGCAGCACGCCGGAUAUGUCGUUAGCGUGGGAGGAAGCAGGAGCCUCGAGCAGCGAGACCGCUCGAACGGAUUGACUCGGCUCGGUGUCGUUCGAACAUCGCCGUCGUCGUCGUCGCCGUCGUCGUCGUCGUUGUCCGCGCGGAUCCUCGGGGAGCCAGGGCGGGAGAGGCGGGAGCACAGGAAAGAGGCGUCGAUGGGUCUGCGAGGGAGACUCGGCCCCGUCGAAGCGUGCCGCGAACGAGUGACGGGGUUAGGCCUCCACCGACGAUCAGACCAAUGAUUUCCGAUCGACCCGGUGGUGGCAUGGCAGCAGCGGUAUCGUGACUAUCGCGCCACCGAGGAGCCGUUAUCGCGCGCAGAGCCUGCCAUGCCGUCGGGCUGCCGUCGGAGACGCUCGUCGACGUCCAGUGACGACGACACCUAGCCAGCGAGACGGAAAGCGCGCGCGAGAUCGGAGAGCAACGGAGAGACUGAGAGAGACGGAGAGACGGAGGAA